CGGGGCGCGGAGUCGAUGCGGGGGUUGGGGGGAGGGGCUCCGGGGCCGGACCCUCCCGCGCAGCCUGGGACGCGCCCGCUGGCGCGCGGCAGGGGGAGAGGGGAAGCCCAGGCUGAACCUUGGAGGAGCCCCUUUCCCGGGUGCAGGAAUUCCCCCCAGACGCGAGUGGUGCGAGUUAAUUCAUUAGAAGGCGGUUCGCGGCCCGAGUGCACAUGGGCGGGGGCGGGGUGCAAAUCGCCUCAUUCCGGCCGCGAGAACUCCAGCCCGAGGCCCGGGAGCCGAUGACUCACGCUGGCGGCUAAUUACAGCGUUAAAUAACUUUGCGCUGGAUCCCGGAGAGGCAGGCGUGGCUGCAGCGAGGGAAAGCGGGUGCGCGCGUGCGCGCAGGGGUGCUGCGAGAACACACCUCCGUUCCUGCCACCCACUUAGCAAGCUCUGCUGUGGAGACACCCCCGGAGCGCACUGCUUCGUGCCCUGCUCGCGCAGAGUGUCGGUUGGUGCCUGGUGAGCCCGGGCACAGCCCCCGAUGGCCCCUCGCGUCUGGACGCAGCCGCACCCACGGAGAGGCAGCCCGCGCGCAGGGGCCCCUCGCCCACUUUCACGGAAGCCAUCUGCCCCGUGAAUCUGCGAAGGCCCUUCGUGGGCUCUGCACAUUUGCGUGGGACUGACUUGAGCUGCGAUCGCUGCGGGAAGGAGCAGGUUUCGCUGUAUUUUUAGCAGGGACUGCAGAUUUUAGGACCGCGGCUGGACCGCCUCGUGCUGUCCCCUGCACGCGUGGUGACUUCCCAGAACGCUGAGGACAGCGAGCCUUCUUUCACAUUUAUGGCAUAUGCGCUUUUAGAGGACGUUGUGUAAAUCAGCCCGCUUGAUUAUCAGCACCCACACGCGGAGUUGCCAUGAGCUGCCUUCCAAUGAUUAUUUCGGUUUCCAGGGCAACGAGGUUUGCAGCCACCCCCGUGCAGAAACACGAUGGAGCACCCUCUCCAUUGCCAGUGCAGCCUGCUCGGCCAGAUCGAUUAGGUUUUGGGGGCAGCAGUGCGCUGACAUCCUCUCUUCCUCCGCGGGGCGGAAGGGACGGAUCAGUAUCAAUCUUCACUUACAGACGGAGUGUGUGCUUCUCUGUGCCAAGCCUGUGUUGGUGACGAUCAAUCUGAAGACCUCACUCGCACAGAACCAGAGCCAGUCAGUUUUUGAAGAUGCAGAAUGCUCUUUAACUAUUAUUUUGAAAGCUUUUAUCCUAUGAAAUAUAAUAGGUCCACAGAAAUAUCCAUUAAAUUCACACGUAACAGCUUAUUGGCUUGUAAGUGAGCAUCUAUAUACUUGCCACCAAAUCAAGAAACAGGUUCUGAGACUUGAGUGCCUCCCUUCGCAUAAUACGUUAUGCUAAGUCCAUUUGAAAGCACUUCCUUGUGUGUGUUUGUACUUUAUCACCAGGCGCGCACUCUGACACUUCUGUUUGGGAUGCUUGUUUUCUGACCUUUGUCUAAAUGGAACCGUAGAGCACGACUGUCAUAUGUCUGGCUUCUUUCACUCAACUUGGCGUCUGUGAAGCUUACAUCUGCAGUCGUUGACUCACUGCUGGAUCCACGGCCAUUGUGUGAAUAUGCCACGAUGUAUUUAGCCAUUUUACUGAUGCUGAACAUUUGAUAGUUUCUAGUUUGGGAAAAUUCUGAAUAAAGCGGUUGUGAACUUU